UACGGAGGAUCCAAGCGUUAUCCGGAAUUACUGGGCGUAAAGAGUUGCGUAGGUGGCAUAGUAAGCAGGUAGUGAAAGCGUGUGGCUCAACCAUACUCACAUUAUCUGAACUGCUAAGCUUGAGGAUGAGAGGGGUUAUUGGAAUUCCCUGUGUAGGAGUGAAAUCCGUAGAUAUAGGGAGGAACACCGAUGGCGUAGGCAGAUAACUGGCUCAUUCCUGACACUAAGGCACGAAAGCGUGGGGAGCAAACGGGG
rnacentral:rRNA from 1 species